GACGAACGCUGGCGGCGUGCUUAACACAUGCAAGUCGAACGGAAAGGCUCCAGCUUGCUGGAGUUCUCGAGUGGCGAACGGGUGAGUAACACGUGGGUAAUCUGCCCUGAACUCUGGGAUAAGCCUGGGAAACUGGGUCUAAUACUGGAUAUGACCUUUCUCCUUAUGGGGUUUGGUGGAAAGUUUUUCGGUGUAGGUUGAGCCCGCGGCCUAUCAGCUUGUUGGUGGGGUGAUGGCCUACCAAGGCGACGACGGGUAGCCGGCCUGAGAGGGUGAUCGGCCACAUUGGGACUGAGAUACGGCCCAGACUCCUACGGGAGGCAGCAGUGGGGAAUAUUGCACAAUGGGCGGAAGCCUGAUGCAGCGACGCCGCGUGAGGGAUGACGGCCUUCGGGUUGUAAACCUCUUUCAGCAGGGACGAAGCGUAAGUGACGGUACCUGCAGAAGAAGCACCGGCUAACUAUGUG
rnacentral:rRNA from 1 species